CGUCACGUCUGCGCGCCGGGCGGCCGCGCGGGCAGCGUAGAGGUGAGCCGGGGAACGGGAGCGCCGGGAGUCUACACUGGUCUUGUCUUCGCCGCCGUGGCCUCGGAUCCCGGCGGAGGUGGCGUGGACUUAGCCGUCGGUUCGAAUGACUUCGCUUACGGCCUCCCGCUCCCAGAGGCAGCAGCGCCUGGGUUUCUUCCAACCCUAGUUACAUCUUAGGAAUCACUAUGGAGAAAAAUCAAGUGACGCGAAAGGAAAUUUAAAACUCGGCCGGAAGUGUUUAUCAGUAAACUCGGAGAGUCCCCCAAAACUCCCCGGAAAAGCGAGUCGAGUUUGCCAGAGGAUGCGCCGCAGUAUGUACCUGCUGAGGUGAAAUACGGCACAAUGAGACCCGGUGCGAAGGGAGGAAGCUGGGAGGCUGAUUUUACCAUCCCGCUCCACCCCAGCGGAUGUUGCUUUGGUGUUUUGCGGAAUCUAGAAGCCUCACGAAGCACCCCCUCCUUUUUUUUUUUUUUUUUAAACUCUUCACCUCUGCUCACAGGGUCUGGGCUCUUCCACGCACUUGGCAAGAAGCAAGACUGGGGUCUGCGCGAACUUCACCGGCCUCCCCCGCGCUGGCCUGGGAGAGGGUGCAGAUCCCUACCGAGCGGUAACGCCCGCUCCGCACCCCCCAGUGCCUUGAGCCCUCUAAAACCAGAACUGAAAAAACUCGUUAUGUUUCUGUAAAAGUGUCAGAGUAACACGGAUAUGUGCUUCUUGUGAAAACGUUAAAUAGUGCAAAGUGGCAUAUCAGUUAAAAAGUGAUAGCAGCCUGGCUGCAAUGACUCCAGCGGCUGUGGCAGGAGGAUGGCAAGUUCAAGGCCAGCCUGGGCAACUUAGCCCCUGUCUCAAAAUAAAAUUAGAAGGAAUGGGGAUGUAGCUCAAUGGAGAGGCCCUGGGUUGGAUCUGCAGAACUGCCAAAAAAGAAAAGGAUGCAUAUUGAUUUUGGAUCAAAUCAUGGUUUGGUCAAAUGGUCCUGUUUACCUAUUUGCUUUCAGCCAAUUUGACCAAACUGGUUUUUAGCCAUAACACUUGAAGCUUGAACGUACACCCCAAAGUGUUAUUUUUUCUUUAUACCCUGCCACAGGCCAAAAGAACUCAUUUGUUCCAAAUAGCCUGCUUUCACCGGGGCUAUUUUAUUCAGUGGUUGUAUGUGAUCUUCCCAGUACUGUAAUUUUAAAUAAAUGACUAAGGAGUCCUAUACUAGUCAGAGUUCUUCAGAAAAGUAGAACCAAUAGGAGAAGUGAUUUGAAGGAAUUGGUGCACAUGACUGGGCACUGGCAAGUUCUGGAAAUUUUGUAGAGCGGCUGGAAACUCUAGCAAGAUUGCUUUGUGGCAAUUUUGAGAAUUGCUAACCUGCGGUGCAUGCCUGUAAUUCAGCAGCCUGGGAGGCUGAGAUAAGAGGAUCGUAAGUUCAAAGCCAGCCUUAGCAACGUCUGAGAGAUGCUAGGCAACUCAGUGAGACCCUGUUUCUAAUAAAAUGCAAAAUUGGGCUGGGAGAUGUGGCUCAGGGUUGAGUGCCCCUGAGUUCAAUCUCUGGUACACCCCCCCUCCAAAAAAAAAAAAAAGAAUUUCCUCUUUGGAAAACUUGUCUUUGCCUUUAAGGUUUUUCACUAAUGGAUGAGGCCCUCCCACAUUAUGGAAGGUAAUCUGCCUUAUUCAAAGUCAGCUUAUUUAGAUGUUAAUCAUAUCUAAAAAUACCUUUUAUAGCAAUCUCUAGUCUGGUGUUUGAACCAAACCAGUGGGUACACGUGGUUUGCCCAAAUAGCCUAGUCAAGUUGACACAAAACCCCACGACAGUUCCCCAUCCACAACAAAGACAACUGUUUUGUAUUAUUCAGUGUUAAUAUUUGGCAUAUUUCUCAAAAUGAUAUUUUCUUGAACCCUGACUGUUCCUUCAUUAUUCUAUUUAUAAAUUUGAAUCAAUUAUUUUUAAACAAUCAUAGAAUAUGAAAAUAGGUACCUUAAAAAAUACUUGGUCUGGCAUUUUUUUAAGCUUUGUCUUGUUUAGUUAAUUUUUUUUUUUAAAUGUGGUGCUGGGGUUUAAACCCAGUGCCUCACACAUGGUAGGCAAGUGCUCUACUACUAAGCCCCAGCCCCAGUCCCUUAGUCAAGGGUUUUUAAAGGUGUUUCAGAUCUUGAACAACUUUGAGACCCUGCUGAAUGUUGUCAUCCCAAGAAGAUUCUCCCC
rnacentral:lncRNA from 1 species